rnacentral:rRNA from 1 species
UACAGAGGGUGCGAGCGUUGUCCGGAAUCACUGGGCGUAAAGGGCGCGUAGGUGGCGGGAUAAGCGUGUGGUGAAAGCCCGGGGCUCAACCCCGUGUCUGCCAUGCGGACUGUCUUGCUCGAGCGUAGUAGAGGCAGGUGGAAUUCCGGGUGUAGCGGUGGAAUGCGUAGAGAUCCGGAGGAACACCAACGGCGUAGGCAGCGCCCUAGACGAGACCUGACGCUCAGGCACGAAAGCGCGGGGAGCGAACAGG